ensembl:lncRNA
CUCUUGUGUCACUUGUGGCGUCAUUGUCUAUCGUCGUGGAUGUCUGUAGUUUCCUGAUUGCUGUUUUUCCCCCUAGUUCCUGUGUGUUUUUGGCCUUUUGACUAUUAAAGUCUUUUGUUUUCCGUGAAGUCUGCAUUUGAGUCCUGCCUCCUCUGCACAUCCUUGACAGCAGGAAGCUUUGGGCAUUUAUUUUUUCAUAUACAAUUUUACCCAAUGAAACUACUAUUAAUUUUGAUUGUUUUCUCUGAACACGCUGUGAUAGACAAGCGCUUGAUGACAACACGUGACUCAAUUUACCGUUUAUGCCAUUUAACACUCAGGCCUAAUGACUUUUGUUUCCGAAAAAAAUAUUCUCAGACCAAUAUUACACUGCUAAGUAUUUAAACCAGACGUUGUCUGUGUACCAGCAACGGUUUAAAGUGUUAAUAUUAAGGUUGCGUUUGUUUCCUCUCUCCUCCGUGUGAUUAUAUCAGGGUAUGUUUGUAAAUCUAUUUCUCUGUGCUGUAGCCUACGGUGUCGCUCUAACUGUUUUGUAAAAUCUUUAUGUUGAACAAACUCUGCCAGAAAUUAUAACCGAGUAUUUCUCUGUCUGAUACUGCCGCUGGCCACCUACGCAAUGUGCUCACAUUUGCAUGAGUGUAAAGUUUGUUGCUUUGUACAGUUUAAUUCAAAUUCUCCACGGUAGAAAAAGAAAGAACUGCAUUUCAGUCAUUUUGGUGUUUGUGAUGGAACAACCUCUGUUCUACAAUUGUGAAACAAUUUGCAUCAUCAAUGUAGUUGUAUCUGCAGAUGCAUAUAUGCAUGCAAAGUCUUAAUCUCAUACCAAUCUUUAAAUAAACUUUGUGACAGUAUUUAUGAAGAAAAUAAAGACAUGCUUUCACUUGUUUUCUCUCUUCAAUAUGAAACGAAUAUUCAAGUAGGACGUUGGAGUAUAAAUUAGCUGUCCAUUUUUUGUAAGUGUUAUAACAAUGUUGUUGUCUCCAAGUUAAAUGAACAGUGAGCAAGAUACCAGGUGCUAGGUUGUAGGAGC